UGAUAUGUAACAGACCAGAAGAUGACAUGUUCAGAAAAACCUGAAGCAACAAUGAAGAAAUAUUAUCUUCUCAGUGUUCUUUUUGCUGCCUGCAUUGAUGUGCUGUGCCAAGAAGCAGUAACACAGACAAGGGAGAUGUUUGCAAAAGAAGGAGAAGCCACACAUUUCUACUGCAGUCCUAAGCAGGGUGAUCAGAAUGUCUACUGGUACAAACAGCUACCUAAUCAAGGACCCAAAUUUGUGAUGAAUGCACUUGAUAGUUCCAAUUCUAAAGGUAAAUUCAAUCUGACAAAAAACAACAGCACCUCCUGGACGUUCAGCAUCAGUAAAGUAACAGUGCAAGAUGAAGCAUUGCACUUCUGUGCAUCGAGUACACAGUGUUAGAGAUGAAUG